GAGUGUGAUCAUACCAGCGUUAAUGCACCAGAUCCCAUCAAAACUCUACAGUGAAGCGCGCUUGGGCCAAAGUAGUACUGGGAUGGGUGACCUCCUGAGAAGUCCUGGUGUUGCACCCU
rnacentral:rRNA from 1 species